CCUACGGGAGGCAGCAGUGAGGAAUAUUGGUCAAUGGGCGCGAGCCUGAACCAGCCAAGUAGCGUGAAGGAUGACUGCCCUACGGGUUGUAAACUUCUUUUAUAAAGGAGUAAAGUGAGGCACGUGUGCCUUUUUGUAUGUACUUUAUGAAUAAGGAUCGGCUAACUCCGUGCCAGCCGCCGCGGUAAUACGGAGGAUCCGAGCGUUAUCCGGAUUUAUUGGGUGUAAAGGGAGAGUAGAUGGGGUGUUAAGUCAGUUGGGAAAGUUUGCGGCUCAACCGUAAAAUUGCAAUUGAUACUGGCAGUCUUGAGUACAGUUGAGGUAGGCGGAAUUCGGGGUGUAGCGGUGAAAUGCUUAGAUAUCACGAAGAACUCCGAUUGCGAAGGCAGCUUACUAAACUGCCACUGACAUUGAUGCUCGAAAGUGUGGGUAUCAAACAGGAUUAGAUACCCGGGUAGUC
rnacentral:rRNA from 1 species